rnacentral:lncRNA from 1 species
CGGGAGGCUUGAAGGGGCUAUCGCUAUCAGUGCAGGUAGACCCUAUGCAUAUUUCAUCACUUUGGCAGGGGUUUCUGCAGGUCUUGUGAUCUUUGCAGGGUUCCUUAUGGGAAAUGCAAUGAGGAGAGUCUCAGGAGGGGUUGGAAAAUGAAAAACAUAAGGACAGCUUUGUGGUGAUUUUGGUGGUGGUGGAAGAGAGAUAAUAGCAUUGAAAAAGAAGUAGUGAGGAAAAGAAGAGAUAAGAAGAGCCUCUUCUGAGGGUAAGGAUUCUGCAAAGAAGAAGGAGCUGAGCUCAAAGAACACUGUGGCUUUGGCUGGAGCAACAAAAUGGGGAAGAACAAGGAAAUGUCAAGUGCUUGUUGAGGGAAUAUUGCCCCAGUAGCAGGGUGAGGUGUGUAGCAAGUGAUAAUGAGAGAGAGGUAAGAAAGAAAGAUGUGCCAAAGGAAAAUGAAAACUUUGCUGGUGCUGAGAAAAUUGGAUGCUCAAAACAAUUAUUAAAUAAGGUCAGCAAGACAGAAAGAAACCAAAAAAAAGGAAAAAAAAAAAAAAAAAGAAAAAUAAGAACAGUUAUGCUGAAACACACUCGGGAGAGGAUGCACUCUGAUUCCCCUAUUUCUUCCCAAAUUUCAGUAAAUAUACGUAGUGAAGAGCUUUUAUUUUUUCACUCACAUCUCUUUGUAUCUUUGCACGUACAUUUUCCAUAGUUACCCAAGUCUACAUAACUUCCCUGGCACCACCCUGGAGAGUUCCCUCAGAGGCUGUGGCAGAAUGCAGCUGCCAGAGCCCUGUGAUGGUUCGCACUGCGAGCAGUCUGUGCUGGGCAGUGACUGACAGAUCUCUGACACCCUUUUUCUCAUCAGCUGUGGGAGCUGCACCUUUACUUCUGGAUGGACCUCUGGCUUCUGAGAGCAACAGAGUCACCUCUGUCACUGACAGCUGGUGGGGGCCUGCAAACCACAUGCCUGGAGGUAAUAGGCUGUGGCUGUACAGUGGCCCCGGUGAAGACAUCCUCUGUGCCAUGCUUUGGUCAGGAAGAAGGAUUUAUGGAAUUCUUCAUUACCACAUCCUGUGGGCUGAGAAAUCAAUAAAGUAG